rnacentral:rRNA from 1 species
GAUGAACGCUGGCGGCGUGCUUAACACAUGCAAGUCGAGCGAAGCACUUAAGUUUGAUUCUUCGGAUGAAGACUUUUGUGACUGAGCGGCGGACGGGUGAGUAACGCGUGGGUAACCUGCCUCAUACAGGGGGAUAACAGUUAGAAAUGACUGCUAAUACCGCAUAAGACCACAGGGUCGCAUGACCCGGUGGUAAAAACUCCGGUGGUAUGAGAUGGACCCGCGUCUGAUUAGCUAGUUGGUGGGGUAACGGCUCACCAAGGCGACGAUCAGUAGCCGACCUGAGAGGGUGACCGGCCACAUUGGGACUGAGACACGGCCCAAACUCCUACGGGAGGCAGCAGUGGGGAAUAUUGCACAAUGGGCGAAAGCCUGAUGCAGCGACGCCGCGUGAAGGAUGAAGUAUUUCGGUAUGUAAACUUCUAUCAGCAGGGAAGAAAAUGACGG